CGUCCCCGCGCGGCCCCAGCGCUAACUGCGGGGUGACGAGAGCUUGGGAGGCCGCGUCGCGGUGUGGUGCUAGGCGCUGCAUUCGAGCCUCUGUUUUCUCCUGUGAAACAGGAAUAACGAAAUAACACGCGUGUGAAGAACCUGAGAGACCCUGUGCAGAGAUGACGUUGAAGAAAAGCAGGGACGCCGUUAUCACCGAGAACUGAGGCCCAGACGCAUGAACCUGCUGAAUCCAUCCCAGCUGAGGGACCGGUCAUUGAGGGAAGAGGCCAGCUAAGUUGUUCCAGCCAGCUUGGCUGUUCCUCACAGCCUAGAACAGAAGCAAGCUUUUCCUCCUGUGCCUUAUCCAACAUCCUGAGAAAUGAAAAAGUGGCUGCUGUUUUAAGCCUGUCAGGAUUUCAGGAGUGACUUAACUGAGUGGUUCUGGCUCCGGCUCUGUCAUGAGGCUGUAGUCAUCUCAAGCCUUACUUAACUGGGGCUAAAGGAUCUCUUCCAAGGUACCUGUCACCUAUGGCUGAUAAGAUGUUGGCAGAAGGCAUCUGUUUCUUGCCACGUGGACCUUUCCAUAGAGCUGCUGGAGUGUCCUCAGGGCAUGGUGGCUUCCGCGCCCCCCCCCCCAAGAUGAUCCAGAAAAGAAUGAGGUAGGAAUUUCAAUGACUGUUGGGAUCUAGUGUCGGGAUACCCACAAGAUUACUUCCACCACCUUGUAUACAUUAGAAACACGUCACUGCACCCCACCGUCAAGGGGAGGGAAAUUAGGCUCUACCUUCUGAAGACAGGAAUGUUAGUGAAGUUUUAAAAAAAUCAGCAUAGAACUUGUGGGCAACCUUGUUUCAACUAUGCCUCCAUCUACUCUUCCUUACCAACUGGAUUAUUUUGAAGGAAAUUGCAAACAUCAUGUUAUUUCAUGUAUAAGUACUUCAGUGUGACUUUCUAAAAGAUAUGGUCUGAAGAAAUGUCAUAACCACUAUACCAUUAUCACA